GGUGUAGGUUUAGUGGUAGAGCAUACACUUGGCAUUUGUAAUGCCCUGGGUUCAAUCCCCAGCACC
rnacentral:tRNA from 1 species